rnacentral:rRNA from 1 species
CACGUAGGGGGCAAGCGUUGUCCGGAUUUAUUGGGCGUAAAGCGCGUGUAGGCUGUUUUGCAAGUCGGAUGUGAAAGCCCUGGGCUCAACCUAGGAAGUGCACUCGAAACUGCAGAACUGGAGUCCUGGAGAGGAAGGCGGAAUUCUCGGUGUAGAGGUGAAAUUCGUAGAUAUCGAGAGGAACACCGGUGGCGAAGGCGGCUACCUGGACCAGCACUGACACUGAAGCACGAAAGCGUGGGGAGCAAACAGG